rnacentral:pre_miRNA from 17 species
UCAGCUUUGGUUUUUCUGAUGGCUUCAGUGAACAUUCAACGCUGUCGGUGAGUUUUGACUUUUCAAAUUAAACCAUCGACCGUUGGUUGUACCUUGAGGUCCAUUAUUGACAUGUUCACAAAA